CAGUGAUAAACUGGAGGAAGGUGGGGAUGACGUCAAGUCAUCAUGGCCCUUACGACCAGGGCUACACACGUGCUACAAUGGCGCAUACAAAGAGAAGCGACCUCGCGAGAGCAAGCGGACCUCAUAAAGUGCGUCGUAGUCCGGAUUGGAGUCUGCAACUCGACUCCAUGAAGUCGGAAUCGCUAGUAAUCGUGGAUCAGAAUGCCACGGUGAAUACGUUCCCGGGCCUUGUACACACCGCCCGUCACACCAUGGGAGUGGGUUGCAAAAGAAGUAGGUAGCUUAACCUUCGGGAGGGCGCUUACCACUUUGUGAUUCAUGACUGGGGUGAAGUCGUAACAAGGUAACCGUAGGGGAACCUGCGGUUGGAUCACCUCCUUACCUUAA
rnacentral:rRNA from 7 species